rnacentral:rRNA from 1 species
GACGGACGCUGGCGGUGUGCUUCACACAUGCAAGUCGAACGAGGUAGCAAUACCUAGUGGCGGACGGGUGAGUAACGCGUGGGAAUCUGCCUUUAGAUGGGGAUAACGGGUCGAAAGACUCGCUAAUACCGCAUAUGACGAAAGUUGAAAGGAGUAAUCCGUCUAAAGAUGAGCCCGCGUCCGAUUAGCUAGUUGGUAGAGUAAAAGCCUACCAAGGCGACGAUCGGUAGCUGGUCUGAGAGGAUGAUCAGCCACAAUGGGAACUAGAGACACGGCCCAUACUCCUACGGGAGGCAGCAGUGGGAAUUUUACGCAAUGGGCGAAAGCCUGACGUAGCGACACCGCGUGAGCGAAGAAGCCCU